rnacentral:lncRNA from 1 species
GGUAAUUACAUGGGAGAAUGUUCCUUCCGAGACGCCACGGUGGGGAAUCGGAACCAGCGGCAAAGGAGGGGAAACGGCGAAGAUGAUCCAGGAGGGGCAAUGCUCUUAUAAAACUACACAAAACUGGCCUGACCGUGACAUUGCUAAAGUUCACCCGCAUUCAAAUCACGAUGGCGCUGAAAACACCCGGGAGCGCGUCCUUAGUUUUAGUUUUAGUUAGUUUUACGACAUUGUUCUCCGCCUUUUCCGCGUACACCGUGCCGACCGCACAACCCCAAUCUCAAAGGGGGGCUGUCAAAUACUACAAUCAACCGUCGUAUCAACCCGCCGUGCGGAAACCCACCGUCGCCCAAGCUCAUGUCCCUUACACGCACCAAACCCUGAAGCAAGGGGCCGUCCCCGCGGUACCCGUUGUCCCUGCGAGUCCCGCCAAGGCAACGCCGAAGCCCGCCGUCGCGAACAAGUACUACCAACCGUACCAAUACCCGGUGCCGGUAGCCUCCCAGUAUCAAUACCCGGUUCCGCUUAAGACCGUUCAACCGAGUGCAAAGCCCGCAAGUCCCAAACAGAAUGUGAAGCAAAGUUCGGCCAAGAAGAAGGUUACCCCGGUGCCAGCGAAUUAUUAUUAUCACCCGAGUGCCACGCAAAAUAAGUAUUACGCUCCCGCCAACACGUACGUCGCCAAACCAGCAGUUACACAGUUUGGCACAAAGAAGUACGUAGUAUCAAACGGAUACGGUGGCACUAGGCAACUAAGUGAAGCAGAGCUCCGUCAGAUUCUGCAACAGUACCAAGUUGCUAUCUUUGGUAACUACCCGUCAAACGGUACCGGCGCACCUCAAGUCAUAUUCAUUCCCUCCGGCUAUCCGCAAGGUUACCCUCAGCCUCAACCCGGCUACCCUCAACCGGGAAGCGUUCAAUCACAAUACCCUCCUCCGAGCUACCCACCUUCUGGUUAUCCGCAACCCUCUUAUCCACCUCCGUCAUACCCGCAGCCUGGAUACCCACAGCCUGGAUACCCACAACCUGGAUACCCGCAGCCUGUAUUUCCAGAACAACCAGCUCAACCUGUUCAACCAGUAGAGCCAUCGCCAUCGCCGUUCCCAGAACAGCCACCGACAUCGCCUUCACCUGUGAAUCCAGGACAACCUUGGGAGACGCAGCAGCCAGGCGAGCUUCCCCCAGAUCAGGUGUUCGUUGUACCAAGUGAGCAGACAGGUGGACCAGAUUCUGGCUCUCCUGCACCGGAAGAAAUAUAUCCCCCCAUCGAGACAUCUGGACCUAGUGGUCCUGAAACUGGACCAAGCGGCCCCGCAACUGGACCAAGUGGCGGAGACUCAUCAUCCGGAUCGCAGGAGCCAGAUAACUCAGGAGGGUACCAACCACCAGUUGGCCCUGUGGACGUUCUUGUUCCUACUUCAACCGAAGGACCAUCGCCGCCAUAUCAGCCACCCAGCGAGCCGAGUCAACCUGAUUCCGGCGUAAUUUACCCCGGAGAACAACCAAAUCCCUCAACAACUGACGGAUCAUAUCCGUCAUCUCCCGGAGAACAGCCUCAGCCACCCUACGGUCCCACCGACGGUGGAUACCCUCAGCCGCCUCCACCCGAGUCUGUGUACACUGAAGCACCUCAACCUGCGCAAGUAAUUCCCGGUGAAGGUCAGCCAGAUGGUGGACAGGUGGUUUCACCUUCAGAGGGUUACCCGGGCCCCGGAUAUCCGGGAGAGGCACCAUCUCCAGGAAAUGAAGUUUAUCCAGGUGGGUCUCAACCACCGACUGGGUAUCCCUCACCUGUAGAGCCAGCUCCUCAGCCUGGAACACCGGUUGAGUACCCUCCACCUGGACAGCCAGGCGCACCCGAACAAUCUACAUAUUCCCCAACUAUCGAUCAACUUGUGCCCGAGACAAGUCCUGAAUCGCCUGCACCUUCCGAGGGAGGAGCUGGAGCACAACCUCAACCAGUUGAUCCUUAUCCAGUUCAACCAGACAACCAGUACCCAGGAUCCUCUGAGCAAGGUGGACAAGGACAACCAGAACCUGCUGUAGUUCCACAGCCUGAUAAUUCUAAUAAUGAAGUAGUCCCAUCGGAAUUCACGAUGCCCGGUUUCGAGCCCAGUGAAAUCACCACUCCUUCUCAUGUUCCAGGCUAUCCUGACAACGGCGCCACUUCACAGCCAGAACCUUCAUCAACGCAAUCACCAUAUCAGCCGUCAACCACCCCUGCAGAGUAUCCUGCAGUAUUUCCAGGCUCUUCUGAAACCACCGAAAACCCCCUGUUCAGCCAGGACAAGUAUAUCCAGAACCAGAACAGCCAUUGCCUGGAUACCCAGGAGUUGGGCCAGAGCAACCCUAUCCGUCAUCAACUGAAUCUACAGUACAGCCAGGACCAGAGUACCCGCCCGUAUAUCCAGGAGAAUCAGGGCAACCAGGAGAAACUGGAUACCCCCCAUUGCCGUAUCCAGAAUACCCAGGACAAACAGGAGAACCUGGAUCAGCUGGACAGCCAGGAGAACCAGGGCAAUCAGGGCAACCAGGGCAACCAGGACAACCAGGACAACCAGGAUUCCCUGGAUCUUCCGAGCAGCCCGGAUAUCCGUCAGGAGAACCUGUAUAUCCUUCAGAACCAGGCACACCAGGAGCACCAGGACAACCAGGACAACCAGGAUCGCCGUGCCCACCUUCUGGUCCAAUUGACCCCAAAGAUUGUAAUAGCACAGACAACCCAUUAA